UAGGCUUAUAUGUUAUAUUUUGUUCUUUCAUCCCAAAUAUUAACACACUCUUCUUCUUUUCUGCUAUUUCCCUUAUCAAUGUGUGUGUGUGUAGACGUUCCUCUAUCUAAUUGUGUCACUCGAAGCAUAGACUGGUGUGUGUAUGAGUGUGCUUAUCUCCUAUCUGUUCCUACAUAUCAGUUGAUUUCUUUGUGUCUGCUUUCAGAGCAAGGAAGGGACGUCAGCUGCUGGCUGAGGCUGCCGGACCACUUGCCACCACUCCCUUCCCUUUACUUUGACGCUCAGUUGGUGGCCCAAAGGAGGAAGAUGGAAGCAUGGACAGUUAACCAUCGUCAACUGUCGUAUAGAAGAUUGUGUUAAGAAUAUGAAGAAAGACAGACCAAGACAAGAAGAGGA